rnacentral:rRNA from 1 species
GCUUAGAGAGGGGUCAAUGUCCUAUCAGCUAGUUGGUAGGGUAAUGGCCUACCAAGGCUAAGACGGGUAGCCGGCCUGAGAGGGUGGUCGGCCACACUGGGACUGAGACACUGCCCAGACUCCUACGGGAGGCUGCAGUCGAGAAUCUUUCGCAAUGCCCGAAAGGGUGACGAAGCGACGCCGCGUGUGGGAAGAAGGCCUUCGGGUUGUAAACCACUGUCGGGAGUUAAGAAAUGUAAGGGUGUUAAUAGCAUCCUUACUUGACUAAGGCUCCGGAGGAAGCCACGGCUAACUCUGUGCCAGCAGCCGCGGUAAUACAGAGGCGGCAAGCGUUGUUCGGAAUUAUUGGGCGUAAAGAGCACGUAGGCGGCUUUGUAAGUCAGUUGUGAAAGCCUUCUGCUCAACGGAAGAACUGCAUCUGAUACUGCAAGGCUAGAGUACGGAAGGG